CAGUUGGUAAUUUCAGUCUUACAUUCUUACCACAAGAAGAAGGUUAUUCCCUGAUCCCUAUGACUUAGAAACCUAAAAGAAGAACUCACAACAUUUUUCCAUCUGGUUUUAAGUGCUUCUGGAAAGUUAUUAGACUUCAAAUGUGAUGGAUCCACACAAGAGCCUGCCCAAGGCUUGAAUCUCCUUUGCCUGGCGCUCGCUAAACUGAAUUACAGGCCAAAGUUGUUUUUUUAUGAAUCUUCUAUACUUUGCAGGGUUUGCAGCCUUCAUCUCUCUGCGGGACUGCCCCGUGCGCUGCCAGUCGCUCGCUUUCAGCUCUGCCAGGGACGAACAGUGAGACAAGAACAUGGAGAUCCCCUGAAAGAAGAACUGCUCUGACUCCAAGGAACCUGACAACCCUAACCAGCAGGAAGCAGCUAAGAGUAUUUGUUCUCCCUCUUCCCCC